GUUUCAGCCGCCGCGGUAAUACAGAGGGGGCAAGCGUUAUUCGGAAUUAUUGGGCGUAAAGGGCGCGUAGGCGGCCUGGCAAGUGGAAGGUGAAAUCCCUCGGCUUAACCGAGGAACUGCCCUCCAAACUGCUUGGCUUGAGUCCGGGAGAGGUGAGUGGAAUUCCCAGUGUAGCGGUGAAAUGCGUAGAUAUUGGGAGGAACACCAGUGGCGAAGGCGGCUCACUGGACCGGAACUGACGCUGAUGCGCGAAAGCGUGGGGAGCAAACGGGAUUAGAUACCCUGGUAGUCC
rnacentral:rRNA from 1 species